GAUCCUGGCUCAGGAUGAACGCUCGCGGCGUGCCUAAUACGUGCAAGUCGAACGCGAGCACUUGUGCUCGAGUGGCGAACGGGUGAGUAAUACAUAAGUAACCUGCCCUAGACAGGGGGAUAACUAUUGGAAACGAUAGCUAAGACCGCAUAGGUACGGACACUGCAUGGUGACCGUAUUAAAAGUGCCUCAAAGCACUGGUAGAGGAUGGACUUAUGGCGCAUUAGCUGGUUGGCGGGG
rnacentral:rRNA from 1 species